GAUGAACGCUGGCGGCGUGCCUAAUACAUGCAAGUCGAGCGAACGGACGAGAAGCUUGCUUCUCUGAUGUUAGCGGCGGACGGGUGAGUAACACGUGGAUAACCUACCUAUAAGACUGGGAUAACUUCGGGAAACCGUAGCUAAUACCGGAUAAUAUUUUGAACCGCAUGGUUCAAAAGUGAAAGACGGUCUUGCUGUCACUUAUAGAUGGAUCCGCGCUGCAUUAGCUAGUUGGUAAGGUAACGGCUUACCAAGGCAACGAUGCAUAGCCGACCUGAGAGGGGGAUCGGCCACACUGGAACUGAGACACGGUCCAGACGCCUACGGGAGGCAGCAGUAGGGAAUCUUCCGCAAUGGGCGAAAGCCUGACGGAGCAACGCCGCGUGAGUGAUGAAGGUCUUCGGAUCGUAAAACUCUGUUAUUAGGGAAGAACAUAUGUGUAAGUAACUGUGCACAUCUUGACGGUACCUAAUCAGAAAGCCACGGCUAACUACGU
rnacentral:rRNA from 1 species